UGGGUAACCUGCCUCAAAGAGGGGAAUAGCCUCCCGAAAGGGAGAUUAAUACCGCAUAAUAUGUUUAAGUCGCAUGACUUUAACAUCAAAGGAUUUUCUUUUAGAACUUCCACUUUGAGAUGGACCCGCGGCGCAUUAGCUAGUUGGUGAGGUAACGGCUCACCAAGGCAACGAUGCGUAGCCGACCUGAGAGGGUGAUCGGCCACAUUGGAACUGAGACACGGUCCAGCUCC
rnacentral:rRNA from 1 species